GUCGACGGUAACGGAAGCAGCUUGCUGCUUCGCUGACGAGUGGCGGACGGGUGAGUAAUGUCUGGGAAACUGCCUGAUGGAGGGGGAUAACUACUGGAAACGGUGGCUAAUACCGCAUAACGUCGCAAGACCAAAGAGGGGGACCUUCGGGCCUCUUGCCAUCAGAUGUGCCCAGAUGGGAUUAGCUUGUUGGUGAGGUAACGGCUCACCAAGGCGACGAUCCCUAGCUGGUCUGAGAGGAUGACCAGCCACACUGGAACUGAGACACGGUCCAGACUCCUACGGGAGGCAGCAGUGGGGAAUAUUGCACAAUGGGCGCAAGCCUGAUGCAGCCAUGCCGCGUGUAUGAAGAAGGCCUUCGGGUUGUAAAGUACUUUCAGCGGGGAGGAAGGUGUUGUGGUUAAUAACCGCAGCAAUUGACGUUACCCGCAGAAGAAGCACCGGCUAACUCCGUGCCAGCAGCCGCGGUAAUACGGAGGGUGCAAGCGUUAAUCGGAAUUACUGGGCGUAAAGCGCACGCAGGCGGUCUGUCAAGUCGGAUGUGAAAUCCCCGGGCUCAACCUGGGAACUGCAUUCGAAACUGGCAGGCUUGAGUCUUGUAGAGGGGGGUAGAAUUCCAGGUGUAGCGGUGAAAUGCGUAGAGAUCUGGAGGAAUACCGGUGGCGAAGGCGGCCCCCUGGACAAAGACUGACGCUCAGGUGCGAAAGCGUGGGGAGCA
rnacentral:rRNA from 1 species